UCCAUGCAAGARUUGGGAGGGGCGCACACUGUAAAUAGGAAUAGGUGCAUCACCGGCACUGAUCUAGCAAGCUAAAGUUAGCUAGUUAGUCACAGAAAUGUACGUUCAMCCUGUUAAUUAUUUCUGUCCAAUUUGACUUAUCUUACGAAGUCAACAUGGCUUAAUAUAGUUUCUUUCGUUUUUUGACCUCGACAUUGUUGCUGGAUAGAUACUUGCAUAUCUACUUGCAUAUAUUAGCUGCUAGCUAAUGCUAACGACGCUAGCUAACCUCAUAUCUGGAUGCCUCACGCUAGUUCCCGAGAGAGCAGCAUACUACCCCAUGUCCUGAGCAGGAAAGACCAGGAAAAGUGUUGGCUUAAGAUCUACCACCCCCAGCAGUUCAGCUGCAGUCAACUGCUGUGGUAUUUAAUUUACCAGCUGCACCAGUUCCUACUACACUGGCCAUGAAGGGAGAAACUUUUGAGGAUACCCAGAUGGAUACAGAUCMUCCAUGCCUGACAGCCUCACCCAGAAGUGCAUACACUGGGCCUAGCAAGACUGACAAAGCAAAAUAAAACAUGCACUCACACACAUUAUCCACAAUGUAAACAAGUUGUAAUUACUUGUUUUCUCCAUUUUAUUUUAGGAUUGGAGAUAACUACUCCUUCAUAGCCAUUCUCAAUAUCUACAUAAGUACUCUAAAUAUCUAUCAAAUCAAAGUGUGAUAGAUAAUAUUGUAAAAGACUAUGGCUUAAUGUUUACAGUUUGAGGAAAUUCUGUGUGUUGAAAAACAUGUCUUACUCUCACACACAAGACCCAAUGUAAACAAGUUAUUACAAUUUAUAUACUACAUUUUAUUUGAGGAAAAUAUCUGAAAUAAAGUACAUUCACUGUUAAAGCAA